rnacentral:rRNA from 1 species
GACGUAGGGCGCGAGCGUUGUCCGGAUUUAUUGGGCGUAAAGAGCUCGUAGGCGGCUUGUUGCGUCGACCGUGAAAACCCGGGGCUCAACUUCGGGCUUGCGGUCGAUACGGGCGGGCUAGAGUUCGGUAGGGGAGACUGGAAUUCCUGGUGUAGCGGUGAAAUGCGCAGAUAUCAGGAGGAACACCGGUGGCGAAGGCGGGUCUCUGGACGGUGUCUGACGCUGAGGCGCGAAAGCCAGGGGAGCGAACGGG